rnacentral:lncRNA from 1 species
CCAGGAGCAGCUGGAGGAGAGGCGGAGAGAGAGAGGGCUCCAUCGGGGAAGGCCUGUGACGGGCUUUCUCUCCCAGAGCGGCAAAUACCAGGGCCCCUUUGUGGAAUGUGGAGCUGCUCAGAGGACAAGUCGCCCUACUGCUUUCUGGAGGAAGCUGAGAGACUUGGCUUAAGCCACAGAACUAGACGGUGGAUGACAAGCCUAGGACUCGGACUCUGCGACCUUUGCUUCUGUAUUCAUUCUACCUCCCUCUUACUUGGAAGAUUGUCUCCUGGGAAAGAAAAAGUCAUCUGUGAGAUCUCCCAAGGAAAGAUCCCGAUCAGUAUAAGCCGUUCAAUCUACGGCCCGCAGCAGGGCUGGAAACGAACAAGAAAAACUUCCCUCCCAGGCUCCACUCCAGCCCAGAAGGCGGCCUCAGAGCCUUCUGCAAUGCAGCCAUCGUGCAGUGCUUCACGAGAUAUGGACACGGAUGCCCUGAAGUCUCCUGGUCAGGCCUAACCUCUAGCCCAUUCCCCACCACAGGAGACAAUUGGUUUCUGGUUGCCUACAGCACCUUGAAUCUUACGGGCUAUUACCUCCUUCCCCUACUCAUCAUUAUGUGAAAUCUUGGCAAAGAUUAGUCCAAGUGCCCGCUUCUCAUAGGGAAGCUGAGGGGAUGGGCUCCUCCUUCGAGCUGCCCUCUUCUAAAGUAGGGUCAGGUAGAAGGAUGAUCAGAUUGUCUCUCCUGACUCUGAAAAGAGGCUUUCCCAGCACAUGCUGUCUACUGUGUCUCAGCCUCCAUCUUCCUACUUCUUGGCCUCUGGAGAUAAGAGACUGCCUGGAGAGCAGGGAGCUUUUCGUGUUUUACCAUACUUCCCAUGCUACUCAGAAGAAGAGCCAAGAUUGUAUUUCUUAGAGGCCUUUUAUUUCCUGGGUGCUAUCUGCCUGGCUUCAUGGAGGACGGAGAUGGUGUUGGAACUUGGAGGAUAUGGAAGGCUUUCUGGAUGGUUGCAAUGGGCUGAAUAAAGAGACAAGAUAUUGAUUGAAUUCUGGAGAAGGCAAUACUAUCAAAGGUAGACAAGAUCUAGCUCUGGUUUGUGCUUCAAUUCUGAGUUGCUGCUUCUGAAGAAAUCCUUGUGAUGUCAUCAAUUAAUAAAGGAGCAAUAGGCCCUGGGGAUACAGUGAUGAGUCGAAAGGGAUGAAGGCUUAUAGCAUAAAAGGAGAGACACAUGUCAAUCAACAGUGAUGCUAAUGGAUCCAUGAGCAUAAAUGGAGAGAAAUACUGUAAAGAAAAGAAUCACAGUUUGGUGAGAACCAAAGCAAAGGAACUUGGCCAAAACUGGGAGUCUAGGAAGGCUUCCCAGGCCAAGCGAGGAUCGAGCUAAAGUCUGAAGAACAGGAGGGAGUCUCCGAGGGAAGAGGAGAGGAGAGAGCAAGUUGCAAAGACAGAGAGACAGGCAGAGAGAAGAGCAGGAGUGAGGCAAGUCAUAGUCCAGGGAGGAGAGUUAAAGA